rnacentral:lncRNA from 10 species
GUAGAUCAGAGGCAAAAAUUUCCUCUUGUGUCCUUAUUUUUGUUUCCUCUGUUGUUCUUGGAUUUCCCUAGAGAUUUCUUCUAAAUAAGGCCUGAGAUAUUCAGAUUACAGCUGUAAUUCCCUGUUGUUAUACAGAAGCCCUGUUGAUGCAGUGGUAAGGUGUGGAAAAGAAGUUUUCUAUAGUCCUAGGAUUAGUUCUCAGUCUUUUAGAGAGCCUGUGCCCCUGGGCUGUCAUCUUCACAUAUGCUUCUCAGUUGCCCUCCCUCUCCCAGUGAAAUCCGAGGCUAGUAGAAGCUAAAUUCAGGUGUUUCCCUUCCUCUAGAUUGGUUAGACUCUGGUAAAAUAAUUUGCCUUGAAGGCAGGCCUUGUUAAAAAGAACAGAAUGUUCUGGACAUAUUUAAAAAUGGCUACUUUCUCCCUCCCUGUGUCAGAAGCAUGAAGAGAUUUUCUUCCUACACUCACGAUGAGAACCUGGUGGAGCUCCUAAAGGUAAAACUUAUGAAGAUGCAUCACUACCAGAAGUUGUCCAGAAAGAACUGUGACCAUUGGCUCUCCUGAUGGUUGCACGAUGGCUGCAGCAGUUCCAGAUGUCCCAUCGAGACACAAAAAGAUCCCAGAUGGAAGAUGCCAUCUCCUCCUAUGUGCCUCUUUUUAAGAGUUACACAGGAGUGAGGAGGACCACCAAACCAAACUAAGACUCGGAGGAAAAAAAAAAAAGAAAAAGAAGAAAAUGUCUGCUAGGUGCCAUGCCACUCAAACAGCCAAUGGAAAGGCCCACGUGGCGAGAGCUAAGGCUUCCUGCCAACAGGCAAGUGAGGAAGCCCAGUCAGCUGCCUGCAGUCCUGACCCAUGAAGAGCCUGACUGAAAGUGAAUGAGCAACCCUGAGCUAGGACAACCCAGCAAGGCCCAUCCUGAAUUCCUGCCCACAAAAACUCUGAGACAGUAAAUGUUCGUUGUUUUAAACCACAAAGUUUUGAAGUAAUAGAUUAAUUAGGUAACCAAUUGGGACUGCAGUAUUCCUUCAGGGAACUUGAAUAGUCAUUCUGUAUAUGGAAAUUGUACACAUCUUAAAAUUGCUGGACUAAAGUGAGAAGAGACUGUCUUGAGUCAACUGGAUAAAGUGGAAAAAAAAUUAAUUUGGAAAUCAAUAGAAUUCUGGCCUUGGCUUUGUCACUAAGAAACACUUAUAAGUAAUUUCACUUCUCUUGAAAUUAUGAUCAUUAUCUAUAACAUAAAGGAACUGAGCUAAAUGUUAUCUGAUGCCUCUUUAGGCUCUCAAACUCCAUAGAUUUAUGACAUGCUUGAAAUUCACUUUGUUUCACCCUAAUUCAGAGCUUUGUUUCACUAGCUCUAGAAUUAGAUGCCUUGGGUUUAAAUUGCAAUUCAGUCACUUAUUUAAAUAAUUGUACUUGGAUGAGUGAUGUUGCCAUUUUAAGCCUCAGUUUCCCCAUAGAUUCAUUGAGAAGAUCAAAUAAGAUGAUGCAGAUAAAGCUCUUAGUUUGUGGGGACACUUAGUAAGUGCUUAAUAAAUACAGGCAGUUGUGUUAUCUAUGUUGUAGCAGCACAUUUUGUAAAAUAAAACAAAGUUGAAAUCACAGAUCUAUAUUUUUAUGUACUCUGUUGACAGUUUAGAGCUUAUUUGGCUUUUAACAUUUUUAUUAUUGUUUUGUUUAUUUAUCAUUAUUAUUAUUUUUUGAGACGGAGUCUUGCUCUGUCGCCUAGGCUGGAGUACAGUGGCGUGGUCUCUGCUCACUGCAACCCCCGCCUUCUGAGUUCAAGCUAUUCUCCUGCUUCAGCCUCUCCAGUAGCUGGGAUUACAGGCACGCGCCACCAGGCCCGGAUAAUUUUUGUAUUUUUAGUAGAGACAGGGUUUCACCAUGUUGGCCAGUCUGGUCUCGAACUCCUGACCUUGUGAUCUGCCCGCCUCAGCCUCCCAAAGUGCUGGGAUUAUAAGCAUGAGCCACUCCACCUGGCCUAUUAUCAUUUUUUGAGAUGGGGGCCUCUCUCCGUUGCUCAGGCUGAAGGACAGUAGCAUGAUCAUUGUUCACUGUAACCUUGAACUCAUGGGCUCAAAUAGUCCUCCCAACUCAGCCUCUUGAGUAGCUGGGACUACAGGUGCACAACACCAUGCCUAUCUUAACCUUUUAGAUUUUUUUUAUAGAGAUGGGGUCUUACAGUAUUGCUCAGGGUGGUCUUAAACUCCUGGCCUCAAGUGAUCCUUCCGCCUCAGCCUCCCAAAGUGCUGGGGUUAUAGGCAUGAGCCACCAUGCCCUGUUCGCUUUUAUAUAAUCAGUAUGUAAAGUGCAUUUUAUAGGGACUUGAAGCACACUUUUAUAAUUUUAAAAAUUGUAGAAAUUCAUAUGUGAAGUUUUGCCUUAUAAUGUAUUGUUGGUCAUACCCUGGAUCAGGAAGCCAACCCCAAAUUACAAUCUCAUUCCUACAAGAAGGUACAGUCUGCUGUAUGAAGAUCUAUUUUUACAUGUGUUUCUAGGAAUGCUUUGCAGCGGAGUUAGGUGGCCUAGACUUUCUUGAUUCUCCUGCAGAGCACAGCCUGCUGUAAAUACUCCAUUUUAUUUGCUUAAGCUUGGUUUGUUUUUGUUUUUGCCUUUUUUUAGUGUAAGAUAAAUAGAAAUCUAAGUCAGUUUCUGAUUGUGCCUAAUGGUCUGUUCUUUAAAAAUUGAGAUCAUUGUCCAACAGACACUCAGAUCUGGUUCGGCCGGUUUGGAAGUCUUUCUCUUCAGGUCUCUCUAACUCUUAGCAGUCCUCUGACAGGUUGCUGCCUUCCUCAUUUACAUCCAUAAUGCUAAGUUCCCUUUGGUCCAGGUCAGUAUUCUGGGAUGUUUCCAGAAUCAAUAUCUGAUGUUUCUAUUUGCUCUGGCACCUGCCAGUUUACUUGGGUAGGCCUCCAGUGUGGAACAGAACUAGAAUAUUGUGAGUUAUCCAUUUUUCUGCUGUACAGCCAGGGUCACCUGAGGCUGUAGACUGACUCUCCAGCUGGAAAAACAGAGUAUUCUGGACAAAUUCUUUGCCAAUGGCCAUGUGGUAGGCCUGGCGAUUGAGAGUCAAAAGAGUCCAAUUUCCUGUGCUCUCAGGUUUUGAAUUUUUAAAUAAAGCAUUGUUUUGUGUGCUAAAAUUUUAAAAUAUAAAGUAAGUUUUGUUGUUUCUUUUUUCUGUGAUUUUUUGCUGCCAUCUAUUCCCUUAUAGCCACAAAGCAGCUAUUCGGAAGCCUAUUGUUCUC